GGCUGUGGCUCAGUUCUCCAUGUUGUCACAUCAGCUGUCUGUCUUGGGCUUGUUCAUCUAGAAGCCAUGUCCCAAGAGCAGCAAAGAAGGCAAGACCCAAAGCUCAAGCACUUUCUAAGCCUCCAAUUGUUUCACAUUAGUAAGUCACUAACGGAGCCCAUAUAUGAAUUAGAGGAAAAGAUUUCACUUCUUGAUAGGAAGAAUUGUAAAUUAUCAGGGGACAGUAUUUUGCAAUCUGCUAGGACCUUGGAUACUAAGCUAAGAAAUUUGGACUUUUUAAUUGGUAGACAGUGAGGAAGGAAGGGCACAGACUUAAGAGAUCAACCCUAGAUGUAGCCAAAAACUGUAUUUUUGAAAAUCGUCUUUAUUUUUUAGAACAGUUUUAGAUUUGUAGAAAAAUGAAGAUGAUACAGAGUCCCCAUAUGUCCCAUACCCAGUAUCCCUUGUUAAUAACAUCUUAUAUUAAUAUGGUAUAUUUGUUAAAAUUAAUGAACCAAUAUUGAUAUGUUUUUAUUAGCUAAUACAUACUGUAUGUAGAUUUCCUUUUUAUAAUUUUAUCUUAUUUUAUUUCAUCAUAAUAAGUGCAUUCUGUAAUCUCGAUCCCUUAUUUCACCCAUGCCGCCACCUAUCUCCCCUCUGGUAAAGGGGAGGUAGGUUAACAGCUGGUUAACAGAUGGUUAUCUGUUCCCUAUAGUUAAGAGUCUUUUUCUUGGUUUGUUUCUCUCUCUUCUUUCUUUUCCUUUGCUCAUUUGUUUCUUAAAUUCCAUAUAUGAAUGAAAUCAUAUGGUAUUUGUCUUUCUCUGACUGACUCAUUUCACUUAGCAUUAUAUUCUCUAGCUCCAUCCAUGUUGUUGCAAAUGGCAAGAGUUCAUUCUUUCUUACGGCUGAAUUAUAUAUCUACAGUGGGAUAUAUAUCACAUCUUCUUUAUCCAUUCAUCUAUCGACGGACACUUAGGCUGCUUCCGUAGUUUGGCUGUUAUAAAUAAUGCUGCAAUAAACAGAGGGAUGCAUGUAUCCCUUUGAAUUAGUGUCUUUGUAUUUGUUGGGUAAAUACCCAACAGUAUGAUUAUUAGAUGAUAGGGUAGUUCUAUUUUUAAUUUUCUGAAGAAACUCCCAUCGUUUUUGCCAGAGUGGCUGCACCAGUUUGCUUUCCCAUUAAGAGUGCAUCAGGGUUCCUUUUCCUCCACAUCUUCACCAACACUGUUGUCUCUUGUGUUGAUGAUUUUAGCCAUUCUGACGGCUGUGAGGUGAUAUAUCUCCUUGGCGUUUUGAUUUGCAUUUCCCUGAUGGUAAGUGAUGAUGAACAUCUUUUCAUGUAUGUUGACCAUCUGUGUGUCUUCUUUGGAGAAAUAUCUGUUCAUGUCUUCUGCCCAUUUUUUAAUUGGAUUGUUGGUUUUUUGGGUGUUGAGUUGUACCAGUUCUUUAUAUAUUUUGGAUACUAACCCUUUAUUGGAUAUAUCAUAUGCAAAUAUCUUCUCCCAUUCAGUAGGUUCCCUUUUAGUUGUGUUGAUUGUUUCCUUCACUGUGCAGAAAUUUGUGUUUUGAUGUAGUCCCAAUAGUUUACUUUUGCUUUUAUUUCCCUUGCCUGAGGAGACAUAUCUAGAAAAAUGUUGCUUUGGCCGAUGUCUGAGACAUCACUGCCCGUGCUCUUUUCUAUGGUUUCAGGUCUCACAGUUAGGUCUUUCAUCCCCUUUGAGUUUAUUUUUGUGUAUGGUGAAAGAAAGUGGUCCAGUUUCAUUCUUUUGCAUGUGGCUGUCCAGUUUUCCCAAUACUGUUUGUUAAAGACACUGUCUUUUUCCCACUGGAUAUUCAUUCCUCCUUUGUCAAAGAUUAAUUGACCAUAUAAUUGUGGGCUUAUUUCUGGGUUUUCUAUUCUGUUCUAUUGAUCCAUGUGUCUAUUUUUAUGCCCAUACCAGGCUGUUUUGAUUGCUAUAGCUUUGUAAUAGAACUUGAAGACUGGAAUUGUGAUACCUCCCGUUUUGUUUUUCUUUUUCAAGAUUGUUCUGGCUAUUUGGGGUCUUUUGUGUUUCCAUACAAAUUUUAGGAUUGUUUGUUCUAGUUCUGUGAAAAAUGUUGUUGGUAUUUUUUUAAAAGAUUUUAUUUAUUCAUUUGAGGGAGAGAGAUACAGAGAGAGAGAACAUGAGCAGGGGGAGAGGCAGAGGGAGAGGGAGAAGCAGGCUCCCCGCUGAGCCAAGAGCCCAAUGUGGGGCUCAAUCCCAGGACCCUGGGAUCAUGACUCAAGCCACAGGCAGACGCUCAACUAUCUGAGCCACCCAGGCACCCCACUGUUGGUAUUUUAAUAAGGAUUGCAUUAAAUGUGUAGAUUGCUUUGGGCAGUAUAGACAUUUUAACAAUAUUUCUUCUUCCAACCCGUGAGCAUGGGAUGUCUUUCCAUUUCUUUGUGUCAUCUUGAAUUUCUUUGUUCAGUGUUUUAUAGUUUUCAGAGUAUAGGUCUUUCACCUCUUUGAUUAAGUUUAGUCUUAGAUAUUUUAUUAUUUUUUGGUGUAGUUGUAAAUGGGAUUGUUUUCUUAACAAUCAUGAGCAUUUAUUAUAUACUUUGGGUUAUAAUUUAAUACUAAUCUUUAUUUUCUUGCUCAAAUUGUUUCAGCUUUGAUGACUAGGAGCUAUUUCAGUUGGCAUGCCCCUAUCUACAUAGGCUGAUGUUGCCUAGGCUGCACAAGUAUCAGAAGCAGAUUGCAUAAGGCAUGGAAGGCAAAAAGGGAAGUUUGCAUGAGGACAACUGAAGGGUGGUGGGCAAUAAGUUAAGACUUAGCCCUUUUUCUUUUGAGUUGGAGAGAAUAAGAAGAAUUAUUCUGUUAUAGCAGAUUUCAAGGUUGAAGACAUCAUCAGGGAAAACCCAGAUGUUGACUAUGUUAUUAUAACCAAAAAAUACGGGGCGCCUGGGUGGCUCAGUUGGUUAAGCGACUGCCUUCGGCUCAGGUCAUGAUCCUGGAGUCCUGGGAUCGAGUCCCGCAUCGGGCUCCCUGCUGAGCAGGGAGUCUGCUUGUCCCUCUGACCCUCCCCCCUCUCAUGCUCUCUCUAUCUCAGUCUCUCUCUCAAAUAAAUAAAUAAAAUCUUUAAAAAAAAAAAACAAAAAAAACAAAAAACAAAAAAUACUUCUAGAAAAGUUUGAAGGUGCAGAGAGUUUUUACAGUUGAACAGGGAUGCAGUAGAAUGCAAUAGGAGGAGAUAAUAAAGUGUCUGGCAGAGGUAGAGGACUAUGAAAGAGGGAGGGAGAAAGAUGGAGAUACAGCUUCAUGAAUCCAAAGGGUACUUAUCCCAUGUUGCAGUAUCUCAGUAUGAGCCCCAAACAAGGGAUUUGAUAGUUAAAUGAAUGAAUAAAAAUAUCUUUUGACAAAUGGUAAAUUAGCAACUAAUAAUUGUUUGCUCAAAUAAUUAUUUAGGACAAGAAUGAAUGAAGAGCAUAUGCUGCCUGUUUGAGCUAUCAGUACUUAGAUGAGCUGUUGACAAAAAUGGAAGGAUAUUAAAUUAGAACCAUGAUCUCGCAUAAUGCAUCAGAGAGUACUGGGAACGCUGGUACUUUAAAUCUUCGAUAGACAAAUGGGUAGAGAAGAUGUGGUCCAUAUAUACAAUGGAAUAUUACUCAGCCAUCAGAAAGGAUGAAUACCCAACUUUCACUUAUUUGUGGAACAUAAGGAAUAGCAUGGAGGACAUUAGGAGAAGGAAGGGAAAAAUGAAGGGGGGCGGGAAUCGGAGGGGGAGAUGAACCAUGAGAGACUAUGGACUCUGAGAAACAGACUGAGGGUUUUAGAGGGGAGGGGGUGGGGGGAUGUGUUUGCCCGGUGAUGGGUAUACCGCAUGGAGCACUGGGUGUAAUAUGAAAACAAUGAAUUGUGGAUCACCACAUCAAAAACUAAUGAUGUAUUAUAUGGUGACUAACAUAACAUAAUAAAAUAAAAUUAAAAAAAAUAUUCACGUGAAAAGUCAUAAUGCGAAUAACUUCUUACAAUAGGUGAAAAAGUUAUAUAAUAAUAUAUGGGCUAUGUCAUUAUACUUUCUUAGGUUGGGGAGAAGGAAUUAUGAUGGUUCUCUCUUUCUUCCACCAUAGUCUACAUUCCCAAAAUAUUUUGGUACAUGUGUCACUUUGGGUUUUCACGGGGGAAGAAAUGGAAGGUAGGAAGAAUGUUCUGAAAAGCAGAGACAGAAUUACAUUGAAGAAAAAGAAUAACCUUCCUUACUUUUCAUCUGUUAUUUUCCCCUGCUUCUCCCCACCAGCACUGAAGAACUGGAUUUAGAUGACCUAUACCCAAAGAGAUCAAAGAUCUCUAUGUGCCUUCUUUGAGCAGCACAAUGAGAAUAGAAUCAGAAACUGGAUCUAAACUCAACUUUGAAGACAGAAACAUCUGAAAUUUUUGAGAUGAAGACUGGACAAUUUAAAGUGACCCAAAAUAACGUAAUAGUUGUCUCCUGCAGGGAACAAUCUUUAUACAUCUGGGCCAGAAGUUUGCAUCUCUUAUUUAAUGUUAUCUUCUGUCAUUUACUCUUACCUGUCCUUGGGCAGGUUAAUUUGCACUAGAAACUUUCUUUUUUUUUUUUUUAAGAUUUUAUUUAUUUAUUUGACAGAGAGAGAGACAGCGAGAGAGGGAACACAAGCAGGGGGAGUGGGAGAGGGAGAAGCAGGCCUCCCGCCGAGCAGGAAGCCCGAUGCAGGGCUCGAUCCCAGGACCCUGGGAUCAUGACCUGAGCCGAAGGCAGACGCUUAACGACUGAGCCACCCAGGCGCCCCUAGAAACUUUCUUUAUUCGUGGCAUUCUGAAAAACUUAAAUACAAUCUGUGUAUGUAGGUCUUCUCCCUGGUUUUAUUUUUUAUUCAAAAUAGAAGCAAUCUCAAACUUACAGAAUAGUUGGCAGUACGGUAUAAUCAACUUUUUUUUCCUAAGCCAUUUGAGAGUAAGUUGCUAAUGUGAUAUACCAUCACCCAUGAUUACUUUUGUGUAUAUUUCCUACAGUGAUAUUUUAGUGCAGGAUAGUAUUUAGAAAUCAAGAAAUGGGUACUAGGUGUGGUUAUAACUAUUGGAAUGUUGCUGUUUCCAGGUCUCUCAGUGGAUAGAAAUUUAUACAUGUCUUCAGAAAGAGACUUGUACAACAAUAGUUAUGCAGCUUUAUUUAUAAAAGUUCAAAGCUGGAAAUAGUACAAAUAUCUCCCAACAGGAAAGUGCAUGAAAAUUGUGGUGUAUUCAUACAAUAAAAUACUGCAUAGCAAACAUUUUUUUUAAAAAGAGAAAGAAAGAACAAAUGAUACAUGCUGUCACAUGGAUAAAUCUCAAAAUCAUUAUGUUGAAUGAAAGAAUCUAGAUACAAACAAGAAUACUCUGCAUGAAUCCAUUUAUAUGAAGUUCAAGAACAUGCAAAGCUAACCUAUAGCAAUUGACCAGAACAGUGCUGCCUCUAGAGAAUGGAAUUGAGUGGGAACUCAAAGUAAUUUGUUGCCAUUAUGGAAAUAUUCUAUCUCUUCUUUGGGAUGUUGGUUCUACAGUAUGCCCAUUGGACUGUACAUGUAAAAUUUGUGCAUUUCAUUGUAUGUAAAUUUUAACUCAAUUAAAAAAAAUAGUGGUGGGCUGAUUAGGCUUUGUAGAGAGGAUUUUAUGCCUUAUCUUUCUUGGCAACUGUUAUGUAAGUUUGAGCAUGGAAGCCAUGAGUUAAGAAUGGCAAAAUAAAAAGAUAGAGUUUAAGUCCUUCAUGACUUUGUAGGACCACAUAGCAUUAGUAGACUGUGUAGUUCCAGAAUGUGUGUGUGUGUGUGUGUGUGUGUGUUUGUGAGAGAGAUUGAGAGCCUAAUGGGUUUAAGUCAUUAUAGUUGAGCCUCAGUUCGAGCAGCCUAAGCCAUUCCCUAACCACUAUACUUCCCCUGAUCUCUUUUUCCCUCAUCUUGUUUGGUUAGGAGUACAUUAUUUCUCAACCUAAAUGUACUAUCAAUCCUGAGGGAGAAUUAAAUAGUAUUUCAUAUGACAGUAAUUGCCUGUUCCUAAAGCAUGUUCCACAGAAUGUUCUUGUCACAGGAAGAAAUUCCAUAUUCAAAAAAACCAGAUUAACCUUUUAUAUGUGAAUUGUUAUAAAUUAUUGAGAAUUGUAAAUUCCCACCAGGGGAAUGCACUCUACUCAUUUCGCAAAUAUUUCUUGGCCACCCAAGCUUUUUUUCAGUGGUGUAUCUGGCUGUAUUGGAAUAUAAGUUUGGAAACAUCAUCCUUCAAGUGUGCAACUUGGAAACAACACUUCUUGGGAUUUGCCAUCUUCCCCACCCACCCCUCCCUACUUCAACAGGAUGCACUCCUGCUUGAAACAGUCUUUUGCCCAGAUGACACUUUGGAGACAUGUGAAGAAAGGCUAACUAAAGAGGAAUUUUUAAAAUUCAAGAUUACUCUGUGUUGUGAAUAUUUGAAGUCUCCUUCCUGCUUCCAUUUUGCGGUGAAAGUAUCAGCAGGAAACAGAGGGAUAUUAUGACCCUCACACAGGAAAUUAGAUGAAAGAAAGAAUUUCCUAACAGGUGAGCUUUGAAAAUUCUGUUUCUUUUUUAUAUUUAUUUUAAUGUAAUUAUAUUUAUUUAUUUACUUUAGGAAAAAAGCUCAGAUGCCAGUUUGCCUGAAAUUGCUCUUCUUCUUUCUUUUUUCUUUUUCCUUGUAAAAGGAGCUGGGUCUGACGAUACCACAGUUUGUCUAGCCCAACAGAUCCUAAAGUUUAAUGUUCCACUUGAUAUUAAAAGUGUUAAUCUGAACAAGGAUCUCUACUAGUUCCUCUUUACGUUUGGGGGUUGGAUUUUCUCUCACAAAGUUAGAUGAGAAAGUAGGAAAUUAAUGUGUUUAUUUAUUUAUUUUGGGAACCUCCCCCGAAUUUUGCUAAAUUUCUGACUCUAUGUUGAUAAGAGAAACCUGGGUAAUUACCUUUUAUCUCAGCCUUUCUCCAUGGAAACAUCUGAAUCAACAUGUGUAAUGGUUUUAAUGACUGUGAUGUGGAUUACCACCCACUCUCUUCGGUGUCAUAAUCCAUACUGUUUCUAGAAAGAUUGCCGAAGUAAUUAGCUUGGCUAUGUUGCUGUACUAUUCAAUGACAUUUUAUGACUAUGAUUAAAUUGUGUAGGCUUCUAUUUCCCAUAAUCUAAGUGUAAAAUAAAGUAUUUGAUGGAUUAAAUCAUUGGUGAUUAUUAUUUGGAUAUUUGAAAGGAUCACAUUCCAACUCACAUGGGAGAAUACACUUAUUGUCAGAAAUGAGUUAAGUGAUACUCUCAAACAUCAGCAUGAGAAAGAAAUCCAUGUGGGAUGACUGCAAGAACAGAUAGACUUCUAAUUUUGUUAAUGUUGAGAAAGUUAAACUUUCCAUGUCAAGUAGCAGUCAUUCAGUGGUAACAAAUUGUCACAAAUUAUUUUUGUUACACUAGGAUCAAGAAAGCUCACUAGGGUAGAAAUUGGACUAGGGCCUGCCCACUGCACUUUCUGGUCAGCCCCCAGACGCAUGCAUUGUGUACUAUCACUCAUAAGGGUAUGGCAUUUCAUUCAUAUUCAAUUAUGUUAGGUACUUUGAAAAUUAUCUAUUGCAGAACUUUAAAUUUUAACUCAAGCAUUUAACUAAUGGACAAAAUUAACUGGAAAAAAAUAAGUAAAAUAGAUGAUAAAAACAAUAAAGAAAAAGCAUUUUAUUUCAGUAAUUUUUAUAUAGCAGUAAGUGUAGCAUUAUCUUUAUGUACCCUUACCUUUCAGAGUAAAAUAAAAAUAAAUUAAAUGGGACUUUCCUGGAAAUACAGACAAAUCAAUCUGUAGCUGUUUACUAGUUCAAUAUCAAGUGAGACAAUUAACUGAAAUUAGAAUAUUUAGCAUAUUAGAAUAAUUAGCCCAUUAGAAAGAGUCUAUCUGGGCAAGACAAAAGACUAAAAAAGAGGCUGAAUACAAUGAACAAGUGAAUGACUAGGAUAUAUUUUUGUUGACUUUAUCUUGUUCUUUAGUUUUUUGAAAAAGUGGUAAGGAAUAAUCUCAGACCCCUAAGAGUAUGAUAGUAAGGAAUGAUUUAUCCUUACAAUCAUUUAGCAGUACCCCCGCUGAAAUGAUAGUCUUCCAUAAAAAUAGAAUACUUCCAGGAAAAAUAUUUAACAAGAAUAUUUUGAUCACCUAUCAUGAGAAAGACAUUGUUGCAGUUCUUAGGCGUAUAAGAUAAUAAAAGACAGUAUGACUCCAUAAGCAAUCCCCGUUUUCAGUAUAAACUUGGAUUUAUUUGUGGUAAUCCACACUUGAUUUCCACAUUUCAUUUUGGACCCAAGGUAUUUACCUGACACUGCUGGGAUGGGUAUAGUUGGUUGGCUAAUCAACAAUGUGGCUAAAACCUAGAAUUUUUUCUUAAAUUUUUUCUUUUCCUUUUUUUCAGGGAAUCUAUAAAAAUUAAUAUAGUAAAUGUGUAAUUCAAACUUAAAACAUAAAUAUGUAUACUUUUGUCAAGUUUUUGGAAUAGAGUCAUGGCUUUUUUUUUUCCCACAUGGGUCUCGUGAUUGGAGUUCUAUAAUCUCUUUCAUACAUACAUGAUGUAUACACACAAUAGUUAUCUCUUGUGAUUCUCAGUUUUGUUUCCUGAAAAUGGGAUGGAAACUUGAAAAUACUUCUGAAGUGAACUGUGAGAAAGCUCCUCUGUUUUUAAGAUUUGUUCACCUGUCUUUUGGAGUGUCUGUUCAACUUGUAAUUCAAAGACAAUAGUUGUUAGAGUUUCACCUUUACUGAGUCACUAAAGUGAAUGAGGAGUAUAAUUCUAUUACUUAGCAUUUCUAAAAUAUUUAACUUCAUUUUUGUUAAAACAACUUUGCCUUUUUCAUUUAUAUUUAAUUGAUUUUUGUGAUAUUCAUCUGAGUUAUGUAUUUACAGUAAUAAGCUCAACUGGAAUAAACAGGUUUGAGCAAACCUGACUGACUUGGUGGCAACAUAAUUCAACUGAUGGGAAAAGAAGUGUGUGGGCAUAAAGGAGGAGAGUAUUAGCAAUGAUUACAUAGUGUGACAAGGGUCUUAGUAAGUAUGUUUUAAAGAAGAUUACAGAAGAAAUGGAGAGUGCUAGUUUUCUAGCAGGGCAGUUAGUUGGAUAAUGGUUCAAGAUACAACUACAGGUGUUGAGUAGAUUCAUCAUAUAGCUAUGGUAGUGUGGUCUUGAGACUUUGUUAUGUACUGUUGAGGGGGGACUCCACACGUGGUUUUUUGUUUUUGUUUUUGUUUUUUUAGAGAGAGAGUCAGGGGGAAGGGCAGAGAGAGAAUCUUAAGCAGGCUCCAUGCCCAGCGAGGAGCCCGACACUGAACUAGAUCUCACGACCCUGAGAUCAUGACCUGAGCUGAAAUCAAGGGUCGAUGCUUAACCAACUGAGCCACCCAGGUACCUCUCUGGACAUGGUUUUAUCAAGGCUUCUUCAUUCAUCAGUGAUUCUCUUGGCUUUUCCUUCCUCUGUGUCUUGGUUUCAUCCUCGGGCUGACUUCCCUUAUGAUAGAAAAACAGCUGCAGUUCUAGGCUUCCCAUCCACACAUCCCACUAAUCAGAAAAAUUCAAAGUAUCUCUUCAAGUAGCUUCAACAGGGAAGUAAGGAUGCUCUCUUCCCUAAAGCUUCCAGCAAACCUCUCUUUUUUCAUUGAUGUGAAUUGCAUCAUGGGCCCUUCCCUGAAUUAAUUACUGUGACCAGGUGAUGGGGUGUGCUGUUUGGCUUAAACCCAUCAGUGUAUAUGCAUGAAACAUAUGGAAUGAAUGAGAGAGCUAAGAUACUGGAAUGAAAAUUGUGGUUCUAUAAGAGGAGAAAGAAGGAGGAAGUGCCCACUAUAGGCUGCAACCCAAGUCUAUAAAUUCCUUAACAUGUUGAUCAAUUUAAUCAAAUAUCAUCCUUGAACUUAUAGGCAUUAUUUUUUACAGUAGGGGGAAGUCAUCUAAAAUACUUUUAUUACUAUUAUUGAUGUGAAGUAGUAUUUAUAGUGUACUGGAGGUAGAUAUGCACAUUACAUUGAAUAAUGUGAAUUAUUUCAUUUGGUGUCUCAGGGGAGAACAUGGCUUAGUGGCUAAGAAUAUGAGCGUCAGAGACACUGGAUUCAUAUCCAGAAUCUUGCACUGUUGUAAUAGGACUACCUCUGUGACCUUAGACAAGUUUCAUAACAUAAGACCUCAAUAUUUUCAUCUACUAAAUAUAAAGCAUCAUGAAGUUGUGGGGAUUAAAUAAUCCAUACAAAACACUUAGUACAGUAUGUGGCUGCACUUCUAAAUGUUAUUUUUGUCAGGGUUCAAUCAGAGUGGGUAUCCUCAUUACCAUUUGGCUACCUGGAAGUCUUUUGGGGCUCUGGAAUCAAACCUCAUGCCACAUCUUUGAAAGAAGUUUUUAUAACUUGAAAAUCCAUCUUGUUUCUUUUUCUGAGUGAAAUGAUAAAUUCACCAUUCACUUUUCUUUCUCACAAUAUGUAUGUAAGAAUGAAAGGAACUAUAACCACAUAAAAUAACAAUGCUGAGCUAUAGAGCCUGGGCAGAAAAGAGUAGAUACUAUGUGAUUUCAUUUAAAUAAAGUCAAGAGAGGCAAAAUCAAUCUCUGGUGUUAGAAGAUAGGAUACUGGUUAGUCUUGGUGGGUAGGGGUUAAGUGACUGAAAGGGGCUUGAGGGGAGACUUCUGGGCUGGUGGUCAUGUGCUAUAUCUUGAUUUGGAUGUUGGUUAUAACGUAUGUUCACUUAACGAAAUUUAUUUAGCUGUCUGCUUGUGAUUUGCCCAUGUUUCUUUCUUUUUUUUUAUUUGUUAUACUGAUCAGAAAGUUAAAAGUGAACAUGCCUGACUUUCUGUGGAUCAAGAAAUAUAGCUCCUUACCUUUUGUCCAGACUAAAAGUUAUACAAAGAUAAGCCAAUAGGAAGCUAUUUCUUUGGAGGAAAUAUGGCCUUACAAGGACAAUCUCUCCCAUGGUCCCAUGGGAUGAAGGGCCGGCCCCCAAGAUGAGUGAUUCAUAUGUGAGAAGAGACACUUCCUGGGAGAGUGGAGCUUGAAUUAUCAAACUCUUCCCUUUUGAGGUCUAAUGUUAUAAAAAUCUUUUAAAAGGGUGGUGUUGGUCCUAAUGGAAGACCAUUGUCAGAAUGUCCUUAAAAUUCCCCCAAAGGUUGCUAAAGAUUGGGGAAAGAGGAAAAGAGUCUGCUAAUGGAAAUCUGGAGGUUCGUGAAUGAAGAGCUGGGUACAUCACACAUGUGUUCUGGAACAUGUGAGCCAUGCUGACUUAAGCCAAUCUGUGCAUCCCAUCCUUCUAAACACAGUGAUUGUUUCAGACACGGGUGCAUAACCAGAUCAGAACAAUGAUGUCUAAGGUGGCACUUGCUGAGCUAUCUCGUUAAAAGAAAGGUAAAGAAAACACAUUCAAUUGUGGAAAAUGGCAGAGAAGACAUCUUUUUUGUCCUAAAUGUUCAGGUAUAAUAUGUAAAGUUGGUUUUAUUGUAUCUGUAUUACUGUCACCAGCAGGGAAACCAUGAGGCUUCCCUGGAAGGCCAUUAUAUAGAUCCCGAGGAUAAAGCCUAUGUUAUGGAAGGCAGAGUGGAGAGAUGGAGAGAAAACGGAGUCUUUGAUCACAUAGACUCCUUUAUUGCUAAAGCCAAUUUGAGUAGGUUUUUCUCUCAUAUAUACUGAUCAUUUAGUGGAUUCAACAAUUUAAUUAUUUUAAGAAUGCAUGUAAUAUAGUUUUAUCUGAUUUAAUGUGUAUAUAAAUAUUGACAUGGGAAGUAGCCACAUAAAAUGAUUGGUCUAAGAUCCUUAACCCUUGUGAGUCAUUCUGCUCUCAUCUCUCCUAAUUUCUACCUCUAUGUCUGACUUAAGUUUGAAGGAUUUCCAAAGAUUACUGUGUCUUUACAUGUAAUUUUUUAUAUGAGAUGUACUAUACUUCCUUCAAAUAGGGACCAAGGUAAAAAUUGUCAAUAAAAUAUUGUUGAAUAAUGACUAUUUUAAAAAGUAGACCUUAAUUUCUUUUUUAAUUACAGGAGGAGAUGACUUUUUUAAAAUUUAAUUUAAUUUUAUUUAAAUUCAGUUAAUUAACAUAUAGUGUAUUAUUAGUUUCAGAGGUAGGGUUCAGUGAUUCAUCAGUUGCAUAUAACACCUAGUGCUCUUUACAUCAUGAGCAUUAAGCUCAUCAUCCAGUCAUCCCAUCCCCACUCCAACCUCCCCACCAGCAACCCUCAGUUUCUUUCCUAGAGUCUUGUAUGGUUUGUAUCGUGCUCUGAUUUCAUCGUAUUUUAUUUUUCCCUCCCUUCCCUAUGAUCCUCUGUUUUGUUUCUUAAAUUCUACGUAUGAGUGAGAUCAUAUGAUAACUGUCUUUCUCUGACUGACUUAUUUCGCUCAGCAUAAUACCCUCUAGUUCCAUCCACAUCAUGGCAAAUGGUAAGAUUUCAUUUUUUGAUGGCUGAAUAAUAUUCCAUGGUAUGUAUAUAUAUAUUUUAUUUUAGCCAUUCUGACUGGUGUGAGGUGGUACCUCAUUGUGGUUUUGAUUUGUAUUUCUCUGAUGCGGAGUGAUGUGGAGCAUUUUUUCAUGUGUCUGUUGGCCAUUUGUAUGUCUUCUUUGGAGAAAUGUCUGUUCAUGUCUUCUGCCCAUUUCUUGACUGAAUUAUUUGUUUUUUGGGUGUUGAAUUUGAUGAGUUCUUUAUAGAUCUUGGAUACUAGCCCUUUAUUUGGUAAGACAUUUGCAAAUAUCUUCUCCCAUUCUGUCGGUUGUCUUUUGGUGUUGUCAACUAUUUUCUUUGUUGUGCAAAAGCUUUUUAUCUUGAUGAAGUCCCAAUAAUUCAUUUUUGCUUUUGUGUCCCUUGCCCUUGGAGACGAGUCUAACAAGAAGUUGCUGUGAUGGAAGUUGAAGAGGUUGCUGCCUGUGUUCUCCUCUAGGAUUUUGAUGACUUCUUACAGCCACUUGUUAAGUAAUCUGUAACUUGAAAAUCUGUAAUUCCUAGAUUCUAACUAUAUCAGCAGACACCAUAAGAGAUGAUUUCUGCUGAGCACCAUGGAAGUCAUUAACAGUUUGGCUUGUCUCCAUUUUUAGGUCAACACUCUCAUACCCUCCCUCAUUCUAUUUCCAGUAUGUUCAUGUUUUCCCAGAAUAGCUAUGAAAAUCAUGUAAUUAGCCUCCAAAUCAGCAAUGCUGACACAGCCAUUGGCAUGAAGUACAGAAAAAUUGAUCAACUUAUUUUAAAGAAAACAUUCCAAAGGAGUCAGGUCUGCUUUCAAAUGCCAGGGAGAGUCCGAUCUAUUAAUACUACAUAUCUGUCAUUACAACAUGAAAUGGCUACUGAAAACUGUUCCCACAUUGCCUCCAAGAAUUCCUACUCCCAGAGCAGAAAACAGCCCAUUGGUCAGAUUUCUGCACAUGUACCAUGGAGUGCCCAUCACAAAGCCAAACAAGCUAGAUCCAGAUGGAAGUCUAUAAAAUAACAUAUUUAAAGGGGAAAAGUAAUCAGUGGUGAGGUAGGUGGUAUAUGGGAGCAAGAAUGGGGUCCCACCCAAGAGAUUUUUUAAAAGGCAAAUGGUAUUUUCCUUUGUGGUUUAUUCUAUAAAAUCAAUACAUAGUGGAUGUGUCAGGCAUGUAAAAUACUACAUGGCAAGUCAGAAAGACUCAGAAAUAAGUGUCAGACAUAAUGGCGACCUGACUGGGUGUGGUAUAUAUUUGUGAGUACAUGCGCAUAUAAAGCAAGGCAAUCCAAUUUUCUCAUCUGAAAAGUACCAAUAAUAAUUGCACCUAUUUCACAGUGGCCUUGUGAAGAUUAAAGGGAGGGAAGCAUGUCAGGCGUUUAGUGCAGAGCCUUCCGCAUCGGAAGAGCUCAGAGUGGUUGGAGAGGGCCAGGCGCAAGAGCACUCAGGCAAUGCCAUCCAUUUGCCUCCUUUUUCUGCCCGGUCUGUGGUCUGCCCAGGAGCUGCUCUAAGUGCUUUGCGUGUUUUAACUCCUUUCAUUCACACAACGGGUACUUUUAAGUACCUUUAAGACAGGCGCUAUUUUAUCUCCGUUUUGCAGUUUAAGAAACCGGCACCGAGGAGUUACUUAAGCCUAACAUUGCUGAGAUUACAAAGUUGGCAAGAAGAUGAUUGCUGGAGACAGGACGGACCCCCAUCAGUCUGUACGGUGGGCAUCGAUGGAGCGUGAGUGUACCCGGAGCCCACGUCAAGGUUCUGAUGGUUCCUAGGGAUUCCUACUUUUUGCCCAGAGGCUUUCUUUUCCAAAAUUAGUCAUCUCAUGGUUCUUGGUUUGUGAAACUGCUAAAAUUUGCAUAAUUAUAGGUUUACAGGAGACCUCUACAUUCUUUAACUUUUCUGCCUGUUUCCAGCCAUCUGAUGAUUUGUUGUUUCUCUUAAGAGCUGUUUAGAUUUCCUUGGUUCUUUGUAUGCCUAGUAAUUUUGGAUUUUAUUUUGAACAUUUUGAAUGAUACAAGUCUCUGGGUCCUGUAAAUAUCCUUUAGAAAUGUUGAUUUUAUUGUUGUCUUAGUAGACAGCCUGGUUAGGUUCAAACUACAAAUCCUGUCUUCUGUGGGCAGUGGUUCAAUUUUGAGUUUGUACAGCUAUUUGGAUCCCAUCCCAUGUGUGUCCCACUGUGCCAGUCUGGGAACUGGGUGGGGCUUUCUACUGCGGUUUGGUUGUAAAGCGUUUGCUAUGCUCUUUUGGGUCUCUGUUGCACAUGCGCAUAUCACGGGUGAGCCUAAGACUGUGUGGGUUCACACAGGGAUACGCAGAUUGAGAGUUUCUCCUUCUGUUUCCUCCUCUGUGAUUUCCCAUCUUCCAAGGGUACCUUAUCCCUGUCCCCUCGCUAGAAAGCUGUGGUUACUUUUAGAGUUUUAGCCUCUCCACAACUGUUGUGCACUUCCCAUAACUGGGACACAGGAGCAAGAGAAAAAAGAACAAAGAAAAAAAUGUGAGAGAAAUACCUUGGGUUUCUCUUACACUUUGGGGUGUGGGGAGCAGGCCCUCCCCCAUCUUCUGCCUGGAGAUGCGUUUGUCUCUGGGUUUUAGGAGCCUGUAAGACCUCAACUUUCACCGGGGUUUGCUGUGGGGAAGGCUGGGAUAGAGAAAAAGAAAAAAAUAAAGCAAAGAUUUCUCCCACAUUCUCAGGCAGGCUAAUACCUCUUCCUGUGAUGAGAAAGAAAAUCUUUUUCUUGGAGAUUUUCAUGUCCAGGAGUGCUGCACAGUAGAAUUUGGGCUGCUCUCAAGUCUAAGCUGGGAAACUGUUGCAUAGGUUGUUCUUUAAGUUUUGGUUUCCUUCCCUAAUAUGUCUGCUCUUAUUUAUUUUCAGUCUGGGAUAUUGCUUCUUCGUAUUCUCUUGCAAGACUUUUAGUUAUAAUCACCAGGAGAAUUAGGGUAUGGUGGGCUUACAGCAAUUUACAUGGAACCACGAACUCUUCAGUUAUCUUUUACAUUGAGAUACCCCCUUACUGUGUGAUCAUAUAUUCAAUAGGUACUGUGAUAUAAAGAACCUUAAUCCCCUGGAGUUACCUAUUCAUUGAUUUCUUUAUUCACUAAAUUGUUGAAUGCCUACUGUGUUCUAUACCCUGUGUUGGAAUACGUAUAUAAAUAAGACCCAAUUUCUAUCCAAGUUUCUCAGAGUAUGCACAGAGACAGAUAAACCAGUAACUGCAAUAUAGAAUAAGUGCUAUAGUGGAUCUUUAACUUUUUUUUUUUUUUGGAUGAACCCCAAGCAGGGAACUAUCUCUAUUAAAGGCUAAGCUCUGAUUUCUCCCUCAUUUUUCAUUUCCUUUGAUAGCUCCCCAUUUCCCUCUCUGCCUUUUUUUUUUUUUUAAAGUACCGUCUGGAGGAGUUGGUUCCAAGGUAGAACUAAAUGUUUUUAUUUCACAAAGAAAGGCAUAUAUUUUAAGCAAAAUUAAAAGUAAAUUCUCACUUUACUGGGUUACUUGAGAGGGCUUUAGAACCUAGAUACUUCUUUUCCAGUCUCCUCUGCCAUCAUUACCCUUUGGUCUCAAGAUCUUAUCUCUUGUCUAAGGCUCAAUCUCUGAGUUACACACUUUAAAAAUACAUUCUUUCAACCAUUGAGCCAAUGCUAAGCUAUAGCUGUGAGUUCUAUUUUAGCUUGUAAAACUUAGUUGCUUAAAAUAACAAACAUGUAUUAUCGCACAAUUUCUCUGAGUCAGAUGCUCAAUGCCUCUGGUUCUGAGUCUCUGUUGAGGUUGCACUUAAGCUGUCAGAUGGGGCCACAGUCUCAUGUCAGGCUUGAGUGGGAAGGAUACACUUCCAAGUUCCCUCAUGUGGUUGUCAGCAGGAUUCAGUUCCUCUUGGGAUGCUGGACUGAGGGCUUCUGUUCUUUGCUGGCUAUUGGUCAGUUCUUUGCUAUGUACCUCUAGUUCCAAGCUAUCACCAGAGGGCUGCUCUUAACACGUCAGCUGACUUGCCUCAGAGCGAGUGUAUAAGAGAAUGCGAGAGAGCAUCCAAGAUGGAAGCCAUGGUCUUUCUGUAACCUAAUCUCAGAUAUUAGGCCAUCACUUUUGCCAUAUUCUCUUUGUUAGAAGUAAGUCACUAUUCCAGCCCAUGCCCAAGGGGAUGGGAUUAUAAACCUUAACUGCCUGGAUCAGUGUAUUUCUUAUUUGCUGUAAAUAGGACUUCUCUGUCCUAAGUCAUGGGAUGUGAUAGCCUUUGCAUGCUGACUCAAAGCAUCUAAAAUUGUAUAGAUAUUUAUCUCUACCCUUUUUAUUUUGUUUAUUCAUCUUAGCUUUGAACUACUUCUUUUCCAAUAGGUUGGAUUCAAUCGAACUAGAUCCCCCUUUUAAAAUGUCCUAUAGGAAGUCAUAAUGUGCAUUUAUAUAUUAAUAAGGAUAACCAUCUUCCUAAAGAAGUCUCUACUGUCUUUCAAAAAAGUAUGCAAAGUAUUUAAGACUUCAUAGUUGUAUUUGAGUCAUGUGCCUUAUCUGCCUCUUAUUUAUUUGUUGCUUCUUAUUUCCCAGUUACUCUUGGGAGUUGGAGGACAUUUUGUGAUAAAGGAAAAUCUUUAUCACUCAGGGUCACUUUGGGUAUAAUUUUUCUGGCCAUGUAAUUCUGGGAAAACUCUAUAAAUUCAAAAUUGUAUCAUUAUUUAUGUAUUAAUGUAUAACUAAAGAUGUGCUGAUCAAAAUCACAGCAAGGGUAUUGCUGCCAUGGAAAAUAUACAUAUUCCAUUUCUAUUAUGUGACCUGCACUAACAGGACUAUCUCUAAUAGAAGAGAAUUAACAACCUUAACGUUUUAGUUCAGCAUUGUAUGAGUAUAAUGGGAUGCCACUUAUAACCUUCUGCUUAUUGAAUUUGUGUCCACUUCAGGUUUUAAUAAGUUAUGUUAUAUUCUACAAAAUGUUUUAUUUUUGGUUUUCAUAUGAUUUGAUUUUCCCCAAUUCUUGAAAGUUUUCAGUUUAACAAGACAAAAUUUGGGGCAUCCUCUUUCAUCCAUUCAGGCAAAAAUGUACUUGUUGCUAAAGGUAACUGAGCAGUAUUGACUGUAUUAUUAUCUCAGUGCUUGAGGAACAUGAGGCGUAUAUGUUGAGAGCCAUGGGAAAUAAGGCAUGAACAUUUUGUACUGAGGGCUCUGAGUCCAGAGAUUGAUUAUAAAGACAAAAAACAAACAAACAAACAAACAAACAAAACAACCUGAAAUGUAAUCACUGCACAUAGAUAAUGCAGGAGUGCAAAAUCAAUUUCUCUUAAAUCCUAGAAUAAAGAUACACUUCAUUAUCCUUUGUCGAAUAUUUUAUUCAUUGAACAAAAUGUAUUGAGUAUCCAUGUGUGCCAGUUCUCAGCUGAGAAUUGUCACUUCCUUCAGAGCUCAUGGUAUGAUAGAGAAAACAGGAGUAAAUGGCUCCGAACAGUGCCAUCUUUCUUUUCUUCAAGUGAGCUUCUUAAGAAGAUUGUUUUUCAAAAAGAUUUUGUUUAUUUAUUUGGCAGAGAGAGAGAAAGCACGCACAAGCAGGUGGAGCAGCAGGAAGAGGGAGAAGAAGAAGCAGGCUCCCAGCUGAGCAGGGAGCCCGAUUUGAUUCGGGGCUUGAUCCCAGGACCCUGGGAACUUGACCUGAGCUGAAUGCAGAUGCUUAACUGACUGAGCCACCUAGGCGCCCCAGAAGAAGAUUUUUUUUAAAGAUUUCUUUACUUCUUUUAGAGAGAGAGCACACACACAAGCAGAGGGAGGGACAGAGGGAGAGCGAGAAGACAAAGAGAACCUUAAGUAGACUCCCUGCUAAGCACAGAGCCCUUCCCAGGGCUUGAUCUCAUAACCCUGACAUCAUGCCCUGGGCCAAAAUCAAAAGUCGGACACUUAACUGACUGAGUCUCCCAGGUGCCGCUAAGGAGAAGAUUUUAUUAUGAAAUUUAAUGCACAUAUAUACACUUUUUAAAAAAGAUUUUAUUUCUUUAUUUGAGAGAGAGGGAGAGCAAGAGAGAGCACAAGCAGGGUGAAGAGCAGAGGGAGAAGCAAACUCCCCGCUAAGCAGGGAGCCCAAUGUGGGACUCCAUCCUGGGACUCCGGGAUCAUGACCUGAACCAAAGGCAGACACCUAACCGACUGAGCCACCCAGGUGCCCCACAUAUAUAAACUUUUGGCCAAAAAAACAUUCACCACCUUUUAGUUGAUGAAGAAAAUAUUUAGUGUAAAUGGUUUAACUAGGUAACAAAUUCUUUAAAAUUCUCUCACCAAAGAAGGACAUUAAACAGUCUUUUUAAUCCCUCCAAACAACCUUAUCUGAAAAUCCAAGUGCUCUAAACCUGUUACUCCCAGAUCAAAGACUUAUAGUAGUUUCUCUUUGUUCACAGAAUAUACCUCAAACUUUUAAACCAAAAAUCUGAAGACUUGUGGUCCCAGAAGACUUUUCUAACCCCACCUUUCAUUACUUUAUUACUUCUCAGCUCCACCUUUCAUAAUGAAUAAUUGUUACAACACUGUAUUUCAACAAAACCAUUCUUUUUUCUUGCGCUAUUUGUCUGCAUGCCUUUCCACGUGCUGUUACCUUCACUUGGCUGUUUAACUGGUUCUUAACCAGGGGCAAUCUUGUCUUUUCCCGCCUCCCUUCACCAGGGACAUUUGGUAAUGUCUGGAGACUUUUGGCUGUCACAGCUGGAGGGUACCUCUGGCAUCUAGUGGGUAGAGGUUAGGGAUGCUGGUACAGUGCACACAGGACAGCCCCCCCAUAACAAAUAAUUAUUUCUCCCAAACCAUUUCUAGUGCCAACGUUGAGAAACCCUACCUAAAUAGUACUUUCUUUCUCUCUGUUCAAAUUCCAAACUCUUUAUGGCCUCUUUUAAUGAUUUUCUCCUUUAUGUAAGCUGGUGUUGGCCUUUCCAUCCAAAUAAUCACUCUUUUGACUUUGAACUUUCCUAAGCAAAGUGCUUUUGGUACUUAGUAUUUUAAAUAAUUUUAGAGCAAUUUUAGGUUCAUUAGCAAAAUUAAGAAGAAGGUACCAAAAUUUCUCAUAUUCUCCUUCAUACACAAAUAAUUUCUCCCAUUAUCAGUAUCCCCCAACAGAGUGAUAUGUUGUUAUAAAUAAUGAACCUCCAUUGACACAUCAUAACCAUCUGAAGUCCAUAGUUUACAUUAGGAUUCACUCUUGGUGUUGUACAUUCUAUAGGUUUGGACAAUUGUGUAAUGAUAAGUAUCUAUCAUCAUAGUAGUAUACAGACGAUUUUCACUAAAUACUAAAAAUAUCUUCUUUCGCCCCCAAGCCCCCAACCACUGAUCUUUUUACUGUCUCCACAGUUUUGCCCACGUCUAGAAUGUCAUAUGGUUAGAGUCAUAAAACUAGCCCGAGCUCUAAGAGUCAGCAGUAAUGGACUGAAACCUGAGCGUAGGUGGAAGAGGACGUGACUGGAGUAGAGAAGAAGGUAGAUCCGUUUCCAUAAGGUCACAGGCAAACUAAUGAGCAUCACGAGCAGGCACCUGAGGUCCAGAACAGGCCGGAACAAUGAGGAAGAGCUUGUCACUGUAUCUCUUCACUCCUGAAGAACUGAAUACAGGUGUACCUAGUACACACAUACUGACUGAUUGGCAUGAGCUACUGAAUUCCACUUUUUUUUGCCUAGGCCAAUUUGAGUUAAGUUUUUGUAAUUUGUAGCCAGAAAGAGUCCUGACUAGUCUGGCCACAUAAUUUGGGGAAAAUAAUUUUUUUUUUUCUGUUAAAUACAAGGAGAGAUUCCCAGGGAACCUGAAGAACUGAAGAAGUGGUAGACUUCAUUUUCUGGAUUUUGGAGGGCAAAGGCUCAGGUGGUGUUUAGACGGACUAAUUAUAAAUGAGAAAAUAAAUUAGGAUUUUGACAUCAGAGUCAUGGAGGCUGUUAGUGUUUACACAUAAUCUAAAGCUCAAAGUGUAUAGGCUGAAUUGGAACUAAGGGUCAAAACUUUUUGUUUACCCUCAUGGAAGUCUGCCUCCAGGGAGAAAACGUGCUGAUCCUAUUGACUUUAAGUGUUCUGGUUUUGUGGUAAUUAUUUUUUAUUGUAUAAUACUACAUUGGCAUUUGGUUUUGAAUACUUCGGUCUUCUGAGUGGAUUAAUAGGAGUCCUCCCUUGGGACAUGGCAGAGUACCAGCGACUGAGCUAUUAUUAUUUCACUCUAAAUUUAGCCUUCUCUCUGCGGCUCUGUGGUGAUGUAGCUUAGACUUUGCAAACUACAGUUCCCAGAAUUCUUUGCCUGUUAGGCUCCUCAAGUAGCAGGUCCUACAAAGGAUUUGGGAGUCAGGAAGAGGAGAGAAGGGAUUUUCAUCCUGCUUGCUUGUUAUUUCUAUUAGUAAGGCCCCUACAUUAGCAUUUUGUUCCAGUCCCCAGCUUCUUGUAGUACUUUGCUUGUGUGUCUCCUCAGAGAUACCUGGAGCAACCAGGUCUCCCUCCUUUGAGCUUCUAGGCUCUCAUAAUCUAAACUCUUUGUAUUCCCCUGGCCUAAGAUCUGGUAGCUGCACUUAGGAUCUCUGCAUUACCUCAGUGUUUCUAUUUUGGUCUUUUGGCCCACAAACACCUAUGUAACCAAUUCCUUAUAUUUAAUUCCCUUCCCAGCUAGACCCUAAUAUGUAAUAAUAGGAAUGGUCCUGUUAUGGAACCUGGACUGGAUCACCUGACAGAAGAACCAAGUGGCACUCGGAGAUCUUGGAGGAUAGGAGGUUUAUUUAACGCCGGUGGGUUCAGAGGAGAGUGGUCUCCAAAGGUCUGAGCCCUGAGCACAAACAAAGGGGGCAAUUUAUACACUUCUACUUCCGCAUACUUGGCACUUUUGGCACGUGCGCGAAGCGGGGCAGGGAGAAGAACCUGGAUUGGUGCCCACGGGAAGCAGAGCGGGGAGAAGAACCCAGAAGAGCCCCGGGGCAAGGACUGGGACUCUUCCGUUGGCUCUGUCAGCCAUCUUAAGACACCGAUUUUCCUUAUCAGUCGCCCCUGAUGCCCCUUUAAACACCUACUUUAGAGGGCAUCAUUUUCAUCUUCUAAGUGGCGAUAGUGUGUAAGGAGCAACUGGAGUCUGAUUUUAGCAAUUUGAGUAGUGAUAAACCUAGUAAGGGCAUUAAGAAUACAAGGACCAAAUGCUACUAUGAGGAGAAGCAAUAGAAGGGGGCCGAUUAGGGGGGUGAACCAAGGGAACCAUUGUGAGAGGGUAUUCCCUCUUGUUGUCUGCUGGAGUGAUUCCCACCGGCGAUGUACUCAUUCCUGUAAUUGGAUCAGAGUUUCUUGGACCACCCCGACUCAGUAGCAUAGAAACAACAUUCCUCCUGUAAGAAGAGGCAGAGCCCCCCCCCCCCUUGCGCAGCCGUGAGCAAGUCGAGCCCAUGCCUGCUUUGGAGGACCACCAAGGCCAGUGAAUCUAGUUGGCACUGCAGGGCCAGGGCCGACUGAGUGAGGGCAGAAAAAUCCGCCAUGAGUUGUUGAGUUAACCCCUGGUACUGAACCUGAGACAUCCCGACACCAGUGGCGCUGAGUGCAACACCUAAUGCAGUCAGCAGGCUCACAAUAAGAGGGAUGGCCACGGGAGAGCGCUGAGGGCGGCUAGGAGGUCUCCAUAUGAGUGGGGCAUCGCUCUGGGGGAGGACUGAAAGAUCAGGUAAGAGACUGACAAGUGUGCAUGAUUGGUCGCAUGGGGUAAUGCAGAUGUAUACACCUUGAUCACAAGCCAGAAAAGUGUUCUUAGGUGCACAGACCCAACUGUGGCCUGUGAUGGGAGAGGAAGAGUUGCCAUAUAGCAGUACCGGAGCCAGAAAGGAAUAAUCUGAGGUCCCUGGUGCCGAGGUGGGAGGUGACAUGGUAGAUUGGUUGAGGAUGACACCUAGGUAUUGGACGGGACUGGGCUUUAUACAGAUCCAGCUGUCAGACGCUAGGGGUGGAUUUGAGUGGUUAAGCACUUGGUGGGAGGCGUUAAUCAUACCUAACAGUUGUGCUAUAGAUGCUUGCUGCAUGUGGAUGGGGGACCCAGGGAUGCGCCAGGGCAAGUUAUUUCCUGUCUGACUCUGGGGGUUGACUGUAAGGCUUGGAGUGAACAUGGACUUAAUCAUAAAUUUGGCCAUGGGGUCGGUUCCCAUAGGGUGAUAUUGGCCCAACAGGAGAAUGAUUCCUGUAGCCCAUGAUGUGACAUUGGGUUCUAAGACUGAGAGGGUGAGUGGUAUACAGUGAUUGUUAGAGCAAGAGGAUGGGGUGGUAUUGCAUGACAAGGAAAUCCGGAUGUCACUGCACUGUUUGAGGUGCCACGUCCUGGUGGACCAUCAUUCCAUUCCCAGCCAAGUCGCCACCCAUGACUCACAUCCCCAUGUGAAGAAGAAGAGAGUUCCCCUCUGCAAGCAGAAUUGAGGGCAGGUGUUUGGCUGUUGAGGCAUAGGGCCCCCACAGAUGUAGAUAUCUACCAGCCAGUAACCAGAGUGAGGGCCAUGGUAGCAACACCAUCUGUGAGGUUCCCAGGAGGUAUCAAGAAGUUGGCAUCCAUCAAAAUGGAGGUUAACCUUUGGUGUGUGUCCAUCCCAAGUGGAAGAAGUCAGCGUGGGCGCUCGUGCAGGAUUGAGGGGGAUAAGCUGGAAUGUCCAUUUGCCAGUGAUGGUGAUACGAGAGUCUGCCCUCCUUGCCUGGCCGGGCAAGCCAGAGGCAGUGAGGAGGAACAGCACACCAGGUAGCAGAAGACCGGGACUGACUGGGGCCAGGAAAACCAUAGUGAAAUGCACUCAGGAGUAGACAGCAGAGGGCCAGUAAAAGUGGCAUCUAUGACCUUAGGUAGAGGGAGCCAUUUUGGCUAACCCAUCAGCAAAUGAAACCCGUGGACAAGUGAGUGCAGUAAUACACCCUAGGGACACCCAAUUAGCAAUGACAAUAGUAAGCCUCUGGGGGAAAGUCCAGUCAGGAGGGGCAACAGUGUAGAGUCUGACUCCCAAGAUGAGGGAAAUCACACGGAUGAGAGCCAGGGACCACAGUGAGCAGGUGUCCAUCAAUCAGUGGGGUCUCAUCGAAGGUGAAGCUGGAGUGGGUUCGUGAGGUCUGGCUGGACUCUCCACUGGCGCGGACCCAUGGGUGACACCUGAGACCUUGAGGGCAGUAGGGGCAGUUAGAACAACAGUGUGGGGCCCUGUCCACUGCAGUCUGAGGGAGUCUUUCUUCCAAUCUUUGACCCAAACAGAGUCCCCUGUCUGGGAGGAGUGUACCUGAGACCCUAGGGAGAUUGGGGCCCUCUCAAUGGUGUACUUUUGUAAUUUAUUUAGGGUGGUCCCCAGGGCCUGAAGCUGCUCCUUUAUCACCUUAUCUCCAACCUGAUGCAAAUUUCCUGGAAGGCUUCCCAAGCACGGGGGAGGCCGUCCAUAUAUUAAUUCAAAUGGGGAGAAACCUGAUGUCCCAGGUGUGCAGCGAGCACGCAGGAGAGAUAGGGGUAGCAGACCCAGCCAUGGGAGGUUAGUCUCCUGACAAAACUUUGCUACAGUUACCUUUAGGGUGUGACUCAUUCACUCUAUUUUUCCCUAAACUUUGGGGCUGGAAAGUGGUGUGGAGUCUCCAGGUGGUGUUGAGAGAUUUGGUCAAGACUGUACAAUGUCUGCUACAAAUGCGGGUCCAUUGUCACUAUGGAUUGUUAAUGACAGGCUGAACCAGGGCACGAUCUCCUGCAAGAGGACUUUAGCUACUUCCCGGCUUUGCUCCAUCCUAGUCGGGAAGGCUUCGACCCACCCAGAGUAUGUGCACACUAUUACUAGAAGAUAUCUGAACCCCUGCUCAGCUGCACAUCUGUGAAGUCUACCUCUAGAUCUUCAAAGGGGGCUGCUCCCAUCCUCUGGACACCUGGUGGGGGCCGUGGUGCAGACUAUUAUUUUUAGCACAUGUUAUGCACCAUUCACUCAUUGCUCGGCAUAGUGCCAGCCUCUGACUGAUGUCGUAGUGCUUCUUGAGAAGGGCCUCUAAUGCAGUUUGUCCCAGAUGAGUGAGUCGGUGGUGUCCCUUGACUAGAUGCCCUCCAGUUGCUGUUGGAACAAAGAUGCGCCCAUCUGGCAUCAUCCACCAUCCCUUUUCAGUCAGGGUGGCCCCCUCAGCCAUGGCCCAUUCUUUUCCUUUUUAGUGUAACUAGGUGGAGAGACUUCUUCCAGGGGUGUCAGGGCCAUGGUGAGGGAAGGGGCUCUGUCCAUGUCCUCACUGGCUGUGGUCUUGGCUGCCUCAUCUGCCAGAUGAUUUCCCCGAGCUAUGGGAUUGUCUCCUUUUUUCCUUUUCAUGCACAAAGAGAUUGCAGGGUUUUUCUACAUCUAGUAGGCCCAGGGCAGGAGCCUGCCCCGGGGCGAUCUUUAUCUCUGUGAAAGCAGUUUCUGCUUCCUCAGUCCAGGCAAGGGGUUCUCAAUCUGGUCCCCCUAAGAGAUCAUAAAGGGGUCUUGCUAUUGCUGAAAACCCAGGGAUCCAGAUGUGGCAGAAUCCUGCAGCCCCCAGGAAUUCUCAUAGGCCCCUUUUUAUCUGGGGCUGUGGCAGGGAGAUGAUGACCCUUUUCCUCUCCGGCCCUAGUUCUCUUUUCCCUUGGGUGAGGAGGAACCUAAGGUAUCAGACCUGUUGUUGGCAGAUUUGUGCCUUCUUCCAUGAGGCUCAGUAGCCUGAGUCUGACAGGAGCUGUAGGAGGACCUUUGUGCCUUUUGUGCAGUCUUCUUGUGUGUCACUGGUGAGGAGGAGGUCAUCCACAUACUGGAGGAGGGUGCAUCGUGUGGCCUUUCUUGGGAAGCUGGCAAGGUCUGCGGCCAGGGCUUCACCAGAGAGGGUUGGUGAGUUUUUAAACCCCUGCAGGAGGUGCGUCCAAGUCAGUUGCAUCUGGCAUCCUGUAUCAGGUUCAGACCAUUCAAAGGCAAACAGCGGCUGGCUCUGGGGAGCUAAGCGGAGGCAGAAGGAGGCAUCCUUCAAAUCUAGGCAAGUGAACCAUCUGGCUGACCCUGGGAUUUGGCUGAGGAGGGUGUAUGGAUUCGGAGCCACUGGGUACAGAGAGAUGGUCACCUUGUUGAUGGCCUGAAGGUCUUGAACUGGUCGGUAACCCCCUCCUGGCUUCUUGACUGGCAGGAGUGGGGUAUUCCAAGCUGACUGGCACUUGACUAGAAUACUUGCUUCUUUGAGUUUGGCCAGAUGUUCUUGGAUGCCGAUCUUAGCUUCCUGUGGAAGGGGGUAUUGCUUUUGGCUCUGAGGUUGGGCUCCUGGGAUCACUUCAACAAUGAUAGGGGCCCGAUUCCGGGCUAGUCCAGGUGGGUUGUUUUCAGCCCAUACUGAAGGGAAGGCGAGUCUGAACUCUGGUGGGCUGCUCGGUUGGGCCUAGGCAGAGAAUAGCCUCCAUUCUUCUUCCCUUGGUGUGGUAAUUGCUGGUAUUAGAGAUCCCAUCUCCUAUUGCCUUGGGUUCAAUCGGAGGCUAGUGUGUCCAGUGGGCUCAAAAGUUAUCUGAGCCCUAAGCUUGGAGAGUAUGUCUUGGCCCAGGAGGGGGAUGGGGCAAUCAGGCAGAUAAAGGAAUUCAUGUCGGACCUUGUGGCCCCAGAGUUCACACUGGUGAGCCUGGCAAAAGGGCUGUUGUACUGCCUGCGUCCUGGUGGCCCCAAGGAUAGUCACAGUCCUUUUGCUGAAAGGGACCACUAGGAAGGUGGGGAGGUGACAACAGAGUACUUGGCCCCAGUAUCAACCAUAAAAGUCACUGGUUGGCCCCCCACCUUCAUUCUGACCGCAGGCUCAUGGGGGCCAAGGAGGAAAGAGCCAGGUCCCCCUUAGUCUGAGUCCAUUCCCGUAAGGCCUAUGAGGUCUACCAUAGCCUGUGGUUUCUCAGAGUAGGAUGGGGUGUUAUGUUUCCAGUCGAGGAGGUCAGAUAAUACAUCACAGAAUAGCCAGGUUGGGCCAUCCCAUCUUCAUCGUGACUCUCGGGUUUCUGCAUCUCUUGUACUGGCAUUUGGAGGAUGCUUGCGCCCAGUCUGGGGCACAGCCUGGCUGCUGGUCCUGGAGAAAGUGGAUCUUUUGGGUCUAGGAGUGCCGGUGGAUCUUCUGGGCCUGGGGGCACUGGUGAAACCGAUGGCGGCGGAGUGUCUGGAGCUGAAGGGCCAGGUGUAGAUGGUCUUGGGGGGUAUGUACAGUGGGGGCAGGGUCAGUUUGUCCUCGGGAUCUCCGGCUAGGAUUUGUGGAGACUGGCGCUUUUGCUGAUUUUCUUUAGGUCGUUUGGAUGAGGCGAUUAAGACCCUGGCCUGUCCCUAUCUAUUGCAAGCAAAUCGCACCCAGGAGGGGAGGGUCUGAGCAAUUCCUAGCCAGGAGUCAAUGUACGGAAACUGGUCAGGGUGUCCUGGUCCUCCUGUUAUGACUCACCAUACUUGAUGAAUCGUUGGGACAUCUAAUGUCCCUUCUGAAGGCCACCCGACAUCAAAGGUGGGCCAUUCCAAUUUGCAUAGGGUUCUCAACUUUCCGGGGUUCAUCCUGACUCCAUAGUCUCCUGAAAACCCCUUCUUGAAAUUUUUGAUCAUGGUCUCUAGAACCAUAGGUUUACUCUGUCCUGACCCCUGGUGAUGUCCCUGUAUGCGGUGGCACAGAGACAGACAAAGGGGGUGGUGCCUCUUGAGAUGAGGAGACCAAUCAGAUGCCCAUCUGGCCAUGUCCCAAAGGAGCUUAGGUGAGGCUUAGCCAUAGUGGUCUCAGAGUUGUGACUUAUAAUUGGAAACUAUUCUGAUGCUGCCAUAGACUGUAUGCCAUUCACCACAGAAUCGCAGAUGGACCCACUCAGACUCCAUAGGCUUCUGGGGACCUUAAGGGUGCCUCUCCGUGGAGUCACAGAAUCAGCCCACUUGAGCAAGCCAGGUCGGACUGCACAUCCACUCACACAUUCACACUCCAGAAGUUAAUACAUUCCCUCCCUGGGAAUCCCUAGCUGUGAGACGUCCAAGAGGUCUCUGGGAGGUGAUCAGGCUCCUCUUCCACCCCAGUGGAGGUGGGCCUGUCUGGGUCCUGGAGCCCCAGGCCUUGCCAGAAUCUGACAUUAGGACCAGGUCCUCACCUGUCAAGUCGCCUCGAGUCCAGUGGGAACAGCGGAGCAGGGCCGGCCUGAGGCGACAGGGGUGGGAGAGUGGCGAAAAUUAGGCAGGGUGCACCUUCUCUGUUAUGAUCUCUCGUUGUGUCACUGCCCCGCUGUUGCCCCCAAACUGGUGGCAACAAUGGGCCAGCGUGGUUGGGUUUCUCAGUCAGGGAACCAGAUGUUAGGGAACCUGGACUGGAUUGCCCGAUGGAAGAACCAGCAGCACUCGGAGAUCUUGGAGGAUAGGAGGUUUAUUUAAUGCCAGCAGGCUCAGAGGAGAGCACAAACAAAGGGGGCAAUUUAUACACUUCUACUUCUGCAUACUUGGCACUUUUGGCAUGUGCACGAAGCAGGGCAGGGAGAAGAACCCGGAUUGGUGCGCAUGGGAAGCAGAGCAGGGAGAACCCGGAAGAGCCCCAGGGCAAGGGCUGGGACUCUCGCUGGCUUGGUCGACCAUCUUAGGACACAGAUUUUCCUUAUCAGUCCCAGGAAACAUAUCUUUAAAAGAUAGAAUUCUGGUGGUUCAGUUAUAUUCUUGGCCUUAAAUACACAGCUUAACUCCUUGGCAAAAAAAAAAAAAAAAAAAAAGUUACUAAUAAUCCAUGACAUGCAUUGGUAUUAUGAUUAAGUAAAUGAUCUCUGUGGUUGAUUGUGAUGAAGUGUUUGUUGAAGCAAAUGCCUUGGAGACCAAGUAACUGUCAUAUUUUUUUAUUUUUUAUUUUAUUUUAUUUUUUGGUAGGAAUGAAAACUGCAAACACUAGAAGGUAGGGUAACUGCUUUUGAUUGCACUGGUGAGUUGACUGAGAGAAAAAUGACAAACUUCAGGCCUUUAAACUUUCAACUAAAGACACUGUUGGAUAAUCAGGUUCUGUAGCAGCCCCAAAAGAAUCUCUUAUUUUCUGUAGCCACUGAGCUGACUUUACUGCAGAUUAGUCCAUAAUUUAAUUGGGUAGGUUGCAGAAUUACCAUACCAGUUGGAUUUAUCACCUGCCAACUUCUUACUGGAAAGAUUGGGAAGGAGUGAGACCUGGAAUGGGGUAUCUGUGUGAACUCAAAGCUGAGAGUAUUGAACCCUCGAGUUUUUCUGAGACUCCCUUGCCAGCAAAAUCAGCUCCUCCUGCCUCACCUUGUCAACACCUAUCAACACCGCCUCUCAGGGCUUCUAUAACUUGAGUCAGAACAAGUACAAGGUAUGAGUCAAGAUGGUAUAGUUAUGCUCAAAAUAAUUACAAAAUUUUGUUAUUACGAAUUAGCAGAAACAUGGUGAAUUUUUUUUUUAAAGAUUUUAUUUAUUUAUUUGAGAGAGAGAGAAUGAGAGACAGAGAGCAUGAGAGGGAGGAGGGUC